rnacentral:rRNA from 1 species
UACGUAGGGGGCAAGCGUUGUCCGGAAUCAUUGGGCGUAAAGCGCGUGUAGGCGGCCCGGUAAGUCCGCUGUAAAAGUCCAGGGCUCAACCCUGGAAUGCCGGUGGAUACUGUCGGGCUAGAGUCCGGAAGAGGCGAGUGGAAUUCCUGGUGUAGCGGUGGAAUGCGCAGACAUCAGGAGGAACACCGAUGGCGAAGGCAGCUCGCUGGGACGGUACUGACGCUGAGGCGCGAAAGCGUGGGGAGCGAACAGG